rnacentral:rRNA from 2 species
UACGUAGGGUGCGAGCGUUGUCCGGAAUUACUGGGCGUAAAGAGCUCGUAGGCGGUUUGUCGCGUCGUCUGUGAAAUUCUGCAACUCAAUUGCAGGCGUGCAGGCGAUACGGGCAGACUUGAGUACUACAGGGGAGACUGGAAUUCCUGGUGUAGCGGUGAAAUGCGCAGAUAUCAGGAGGAACACCGGUGGCGAAGGCGGGUCUCUGGGUAGUAACUGACGCUGAGGAGCGAAAGCGUGGGGAGCGAACAGG